GCCAGGCGCAGUGGCUCAACCCUGUAACCUGUAAUCCCAGCACUUUGGGAGGCAGAGGCGGGUGGAUCACGAGGUCAGGGGAUCGAGACCAUCCUGGCUAACACGGUGAAACCCCGUCUCUACUAAAAAAAAUACAGGCCGGGCGCGGUGGCUCNNNNNNNNNNGAGCCACCGCGCCCGGCCUGUAUUUUUUUUAGUAGAGACGGGGUUUCACCGUGUUAGCCAGGAUGGUCUCGAUCCCCUGACCUCGUGAUCCACCCGCCUCGG
rfam:Chlorocebus sabaeus isolate 1994-021 chromosome 20, whole genome shotgun sequence.